AUCGGAUCACCAAUGCUAGAUGGUUACAUCGAUUAGUAUAAAAAGUUAUUCUUAUGCUACUGACUUAGGUGCGAACCUAUAGGGUCACACGCAUUAUAAGAUUUGAUCAGAUCUGAUGGCUGAAGAGUCUAUUUGGAUUGUGACUUUGGUGAUGAAUCCUACUGGGACUGGGACUCUGGAGCAAAGUCCCAGUCGAGUCCUACUAGGAUUGAGACUCUGGAGCAGAGUCCCACUGGGACUG
rnacentral:lncRNA from 1 species